rnacentral:rRNA from 1 species
GUGGGGAAUAUUGGACAAUGGGCGCAAGCCUGAUCCAGCCAUGCCGCGUGAGUGAUGAAGGCCCUAGGGUUGUAAAGCUCUUUCAGUGGGGACGAUAAUGACGGUACCCACAGAAGAAGCCCCGGCUAACUUCGUGCCAGCAGCCGCGGUAAUACGAAGGGGGCUAGCGUUGUUCGGAUUUACUGGGCGUAAAGCGCACGUAGGCGGAUCGUUAAGUCGGGGGUGAAAUCCUGGAGCUCAACUCCAGAACUGCCUUCGAUACUGGCGAUCUUGAGUCCGGAAGAGGUGAGUGGAACUCCUAGUGUAGAGGUGGAAUUCGUAGAUAUUAGGAAGAACACCAGUGGCGAAGGCGGCUCACUGGUCCGGUACUGACGCUGAGGUGCGAAAGCGUGGGGAGCAAACAGGAUUAGAAACCCGGGUAGUCC